rnacentral:misc_RNA from 1 species
GACAGAUUGUAUGCCAUAAGGUUUGAGCCUUCUACAUAGAAAGUCCUGACAGGAUAGUGAAGAACUCUGUUCUCUUUAUUGAAAAAAUUUAGAUCCAGAUGAAAUGGCUGACAAACUGGGACAUCUCUCAAAUAAUGUUUGGUAUCCAGAAUUGUGAUGAGAGGUAACCGGGAAAUUGGAACAGUUUUUGCAUGACCUUCCAUAAAAUGGCUAUAAAGAAAAGCCUUUCUCGCUAUAUCCGAAAUUGUGAGCUGACUUUGUCCUUUCAAAUAAUGCUCUUGCAGCUGCGCUUUAAGUUGAUGAUCAGCUAAUAUUCCGGAUGAACCAAGGGCUGAGAGCUUUUCCUUCAAGACAGAGGCUG